AGCAGCUCCAGGCAGUGCUACAGGCUUGGGGUGGAGUGGAUGGAAGACUCUGCAGACGAAAAAGAUCUGGGGGUGUUGGCUGACACUCAGAUUAACAUGAGCCACCAGUGUGUCCAGGCCUUUCAUUGCCAGCUGCUGCAGGAUGGGCUUGCGUGCAUGGAUGCCUUGGGGAGAUGGCGUCAGCCUGAUGUGACCAGCUACUGUGUUGAGGAAACCUCUCCUGUAGGGCUCUGCCGUGCGCCCUCACAGCGCUUGGGGCUCAGAGGAGUUACUCAGCGCCUGUCUGCACUGCAGAGUAAAGUCCUCCAAUGAAUCAGAUGUAAACUCACGUUUCUUAAGAAUCUGAGGUGAAAUGCUUUCUUUACCUUGGAAAAGAACCAGGCUCAGAGGCCUCCAGCAUAUUUUGCUGUAGCUGCAAUGUCUCAGGACACCACCAGGUCAAAGGGAGGGAUGCUGGCCCUCCAGUGCCCCCUUUCCAUCUGUGCUCUUAAAUGAGGCCACAACUUGCUGAAACUCCUUAUAAGGAUUCCUGUGAAGAAUAAAUCAAAACAACAUAAUCAGAUCAAAAAUUGCUUUUCCACCUGCUGAAAGUUAUAAAAAAAAUAAAAAAUAAAAACAAACCAGCAACUUCUGCCCACUAAUCAGCC
ensembl:lncRNA